AUUGAACGCUGGCGGCAUGCUUAACACACGCAAGUCGAACGGUAGCAGACCUAGCUUGCUAGGUGCUGACGAGUGGCGGACGGGUGAGUAACGCGUGGGAAUCUGCCCAGUAGCGGGGGGACAACUCGGGGAAACUCGAGCUAAUACCGCAUACGCCUACGGGGAAAGGGCUUCGGCCACUAUUGGAUGAGCCCGCGUCGGAUUAGCUUGUUGGUGGGGUAAUGGCCUACCAAGGCGACGAUCCGUAGCUGGUCUGAGAGGAUGAUCAGCCACACUGGGACUGAGACACGGCCCAGACUCCUACGGGAGGCAGCAGUGGGGGAAUAUUGGACAAUGGGCGAAAGCCUGAUCCAGCAAUGCCGCGUGAGUGAAGAA
rnacentral:rRNA from 1 species